GUUUCACUCUCCGCCUCAAAUUUCAAUCGCAUAACAUCUCUGCAAACCGAGCGAUGCCGAUGAUUCUUCGUUCUCGACGAAGACGAAGACGAAGAAAGGAAUCCGCGAGAAGUACAAACAUGGUGAAGAUGAUGAAGAAUCCUUGAAUGCUCGGAGAAGAUACUAAAGCGAUAUGAAGAUUGAAGGCGUGGCUAUGAUUGAGGCUGAAGAUUGAAUUGAAGGAGAAUGGUUGAAGAAUGAGGAAUGGUGAUGUUUGUUACACGGUUGGAGGUGAGUUUCAGGUUCUGAAUCUUUUUUCUCUUUUCUGUUAUGCUGCCAUAAUAGUUUUCUGGUGAAUUGAAUCAGAGGGAAUGGGGGAUUGAAGA